AUUGAACGCUGGCGGCAUGCCUUACACAUGCAAGUCGAACGGUAACAGGUCUUCGGAUGCUGACGAGUGGCGAACGGGUGAGUAAUACAUCGGAACGUGCCUAGUAGUGGGGGAUAACUACUCGAAAGAGUGGCUAAUACCGCAUGAGAUCUACGGGUGAAAGCAGGGGAUCGCAAGACCUCGUGCUACUAGAGCGGCCGAUGGCAGAUUAGGUAGUUGGUGGGAUAAAAGCUUACCAAGCCGACGAUCUGUAGCUGGUCUGAGAGGACGAUCAGCCACACUGGGACUGAGACACGGCCCAGACUCCUACGGGAGGCAGCAGUGGGGAAUUUUGGACAAUGGGCGCAAGCCUGAUCCAGCAAUGCCGCGUGCAGGAUGAAGGCCUUCGGGUUGUAAACUGCUUUUGUACGGAACGAAAAGCCCCGGGUUAAUACCCUGGGGUCAUGGCGGUACCGUAAGAAUAAGCACCGGCUAACUACGUGCCAGCCGCCGCGGUAA
rnacentral:rRNA from 1 species